rnacentral:rRNA from 1 species
UACUAGAGUAGCACUCGCAUAUCAAUAAGCGGAGGAAAAGAAACUAACAAGGAUUCCCCUAGUAACGGCUAGUGAAGCGGGAAGAGCUCAAAUUUGAAAUCUUAAAGGGUUUCCCUUUACGAAUUGUAGUUUAAAGAAGUGUUUUCUGUUGAGGUUUUGGUAAAAGUUCUUUGGAAUAGGACAUCAUAGAGGGUGAGAAUCCCGUAUUUGACCUUUACUUUCAACUUUGUGAUACACUUUCAAAGAGUCGGAUUGUUUGGGAAUGCAGUCCAAAAUGGGUGGUAAAUUUCAUCUAAAGCUAAAUAUUGGCGAGAGACCGAUAGCGAACAAGUACCGUGAGGGGAAGAUGAAAAGAACUUUGAAAAGAGAGUUAAACAGUACGUGAAAUUGUCAAAAGGGAAGCGUUUGACACCAGUGUUGUUUUUCUGAAAAUCAAUUAAAGAACUGUUUAUGCUAAGCUGUUUAGACUUUAUCAGCUAUCUGUUUAGUUUUCGAGCUUUUCUUUAAUGCACUUUUCAGUUAACAAGUCAACAUCAAUUUCUUUUGCUGUAAAAAAGCUUGAGGAAGGUGGCUUGAGAUUCGUCUUAAGUGUUUAUAGCCUCUUGCCUAUGCAGUCGGAGAGAUUGAGGUCUGCAGCGUAGAUCCUUCGGGGCUAAAUGCAUUUGUGCUAAGUUAUAGCAUUUUAUAGACAACUUGUUGACUAUGAUUUGUCUUGUAGCUUACUCGCUUAUGUUAUUUUACCUACGCUUAGGAUGUUGAACUCUAUCACACACAG